UAAGGGCACUGGUCAGUGUCAGGAGGCCUUAGAAGAGUUCUAGCCCCUCAGUUUUCCUUAGCUUUAAGAUGAAAGGAUAAAUCAUUAACUAUUAAAGGUCCUUUCAAGUUCCUAUUGGAUAAUGCCCUAGAGGCCUUUUGCAAAGGUCAGAAAAACUGAUAGAGUAGCAGUCAUCAGAUAUAUACAGGAAAACAACAGUUUGGGGAGUAAAGCACUGAGAGGAGUGUAGAGAACUACUAAGAGGAUCGACUCUGGAGCCAGCUCUCCGGAUCUGAACACAAGCUCUACCUUUCACUAGAGUUGUUGUUUUUAAAGCAUACUCUGGAGAAUCUGAAUAUCCAUCUUAUGACCAGAAUCCUCUUCCAUACUGAAGAGGGCCAGUGUGACUGCUUCAACCAACAGAACAGGACAGAAGCGACACAAUGCCAUGGGUGGCCCAACUCAUAAAAAGUCUGGCAGAGUUGGCUUUUGCCACCUGGGAACCCAUUCACCAAACCAGAUACCUAGAAAAGCCAUGAGGAAGAGAACUGAGGCCAGGGCUGAAUCCUUAGCUGAUCUCCAGUUAACUACCUACUAGCCACGUCGGGGCUGGAGCUGAGAAUGUACAUUAUAAUAAGUUUCCAAGUGAUGCUGAUGCUGCUGAUCCAGGUACCAAAAUACACCAAGAAAAAGCAGGACACUUUCUUACAGAUAACCUGUUAUAUGUUAGGCACCGGACUUUUAAACAUUAGCCCAUUUGAUCCUCAAAAUUCAGUGAAGUGAGUAAAGUUGUACACAUCUUACAGAUUAAAAAAAGCUGUGCAGGGCUGCAUUAAUUGAUAAGUAAUUAAACCACUUACUAAAGACUAAAUCAAUUACUAAAGAAAGUGAACCCACUUUCUCUCAGUCUCAU